rnacentral:rRNA from 1 species
AGAGUUUGAUCAUGGCUCAGAACGUACGCUGGCGGCACGCCUUAUACAUGCAAGUCGAACGAAGUAGCAAUACUUAGUGGCAGACGGGUGAGUAACAUGUAGGUAUCUUCCCUUUGGUGAGGAAUAACACGAGGAAACUUGUGCUAAUACCUCAUAAGUCUUUACAGAGAAAGCUUUAUGCGCCGAAGGAUGAGCCUGCACUUGAUUAGUUUGUUGGUGGGGUAAUGGCCUACCAAGACUUUGAUCAAUAGCUGAUCUGAGAGGAUGAUCAGCCACAUUGGGACUGAGACACGGCCCAAACUCCUACGGGAGGCAGCAGUAGGGAAUAUUGCACAAUGGAGGAAACUCUGAUGCAGCGAUGCCGCGUGAGUGAAGAAGGCCUUUGGGUUGUAAAGCUCUUUCGUCGGGGAAGAAAAUGACUGUACCCGAAUAAGAAGGUCCGGCUAACUUCGUGCCAGCAGCCGCGGUAAUACGAAGGGACCUAGCGUAGUUCGGAAUUACUGGGCUUAAAGAGUUCGUAGGUGGUUGAAAAAGUUGGUGGUGAAAUCCCAGAGCUUAACUCUGGAACUGCCAUCAAAACUUUUCAGCUAGAGUUUGAUAGAGGAAAGCAGAAUUUCUAGUGUAGAGGUGAAAUUCGUAGAUAUUAGAAAGAAUACCAAUUGCGAAGGCAGCUUUCUGGAUCAUUACUGACACUGAGGAACGAAAGCAUGGGUAGCGAAGAGGAUUAGAUACCCUCGUAGUCCAUGCCGUAAACGAUGUGUGUUAGACGUUGGAAAUUUAUUUUCAGUGUCGCAGCGAAAGCGAUAAACACACCGCCUGGGGAGUACGACCGCAAGGUUAAAACUCAAAUGAAUUGACGGGGACCCGCACAAGUAGUGGAGCAUGUGGUUUAAUUCGAAGAUACGCGCAGAACCUUACCAACACUUGACAUGUUCGUCGCGACUUUAAGAGAUUAAAGUUUUCGGUUCGGCCGGACGAAA